GAAGAUGUCUGUAGUUUUCACCAGUCUGCCAAAGGGGUCCAUGACACAGAAAAGGCCAAGAACCCUGGAAUUAGAGCUUUUCUGGUACCUUCUGGAAUGUCUCUUUCUUUGGAGGUCAUUUGGAAGAUUAAAUGGCUAAUCCUUUUUAUCCUGCCGCUGGUGUCUUUUGUUUGGUUCACACCUCAGGCCUUUGCUGUGUAGUACUAUGAAAUGAGUAAAGGAAUAAAACCAGCUGGUUUCUGAGUCAGGAUAACCGGGGUUCAGAUUCAAAGCCUUCCACACACUGGCCACGCAACUCUUCAAGAGAUCUACCAAACCUUACCUGCCCCACUUAAGGAGAAGACAAGGAUGGAAGUAGGGGGACGAAGAGACUCAGCACCUUCUGAUUUUAAAAACUUCACACCAUUAAGAAUUCUAAAUCUUCCCUGUUUGAAUUUAGUUCAUUUCAUCAUGUUCAGUCCUCAGGAGAAAUGGAGAAUAACUCUUCCUUUCCUACCUCAGAAUGAGUAACAAGCAAAAUGAAUUACUGAGUCUAAUGCAGGGUGGUAAGUUUGAUCUCAUAGGAAUUAUUGAGACUUGAUAGGAUGAGACCCAUGACUGGAAUAUGUCUCUGGAAGGGGUAAACCUUAUUGUAACAGAAGAGAAAAAGGUGAGGGCAAAAGGGAGGAGAGCAGUACUGCAUAAUAAGAAAAUGUGUUCAUUUGAGGAAAUCCAAAAAAACAGGAAGGAGGGUGGAGAACAUUUAUGUGAAAAUCAGGCCUACUUGUCUCAGUCUCUCACCACAUGGGAGAAAUAGGGGCAGAAUGCCAGGAACCAAUGUGUCUGGGCACAGGCACAGUUUCAAGAAGAGAGCAAAUAUUCAACACUAAGCUCAAUGUAGCUUCUCUCCUUCCACCAUCUUUCUCCCAGAAAUCUUCACAAAACAGUCCCAGAAGCUCCUGUUCCAUGAUGGCACUAGUUGAUGAAUUCUAGGGUAGUAUCUCUCAUCUUCAUGGUGAUGGUGACACAAGAUUACAUUCCUCCCCAGGGCCAUAUGCUUUUUAGUCCCUUGUAAAAAUUAACUGGACUAUACUUAUAAUCUUUAAUUACAUGACAUAAGCAUAAAUGUAAAUACUUUGAAAUUAAUAAGCAUGAUUUUCUUGGCACCCUAGGUAAUCAUCCUAUGGUACCAUUAAAGACAAGUGCACAUUAUCAACAGAUGCAAUAUUCUGAGUAUGGUGGAGUCCAGCUAUAUGAGUAUGGUAUAGUCCCAGCUAUAGGAGAGGUUAAGGUUAUCAAAAUCUUGAUAUGCUGAUUGGAUGUCUAUGCUGUUUGGCAUCAAUAUGGUGAGCUCCUGGGAUCAGGAAUCCACUAGGCUGGCCAAGGAGGGUAAACCAGCACUGGUCAGAAAUAGAGAAGGUCAAAGCUCCCAUGCCAAUUGGUAGUGAGAUUGGGCCCAUGAAGGGUUGCUGUACUUCCAGCCUGGGUGAGAAGGAGAAACCCAAUCUUAAAUAAACAAACCAAUAAAUAAGCAAUAGAUUCAAUAUACACAGCACUAUACACAGCUUCACUUGACAGGAUGCUUCAGUGACUAAAUGUUCAAAUUACAUUCAUGACAUAGUACGUGUACAUUUCAGGAACACAUGUGUAACCUGGAGUUCUAGGCAAGUCUAGAGUGUUUUCAUGAGACUCCCUUAAUUGGUGGAGAGACUACUGAUGCAACACUGCUGUGAUUACAUGAGAAGUAAAGUUUGUGUGAGAGGUGGAGGUCCAACCACGUCACCCCCUUACUCAAUAAACUCCAGGGCUCCCUAUCACCUCCAAGAUCAAAUAUGAAAUCCUCUGUUUGGCAUUCAGAGCCUGUCACAGUCUAGUAUCUAUCCUACAUUUCCAGUCUUCUUACUAGUUACCUUCCCCCUGGUACCCCCACCCCCCAAAUCAUAUACUCUUCAAUCCAAUGACAAUGGCUUCUUUGCUGUUCCUGUAAGAAGUCACUCCGUAUCUUGGUUUUCUAGGCAUUUUCUGUGGCUGUCUCCUAUGUCUCCUUCUUCAUCUUUGCUUACUAACUUCUCUGUCUUCCUUAUCUUCUACAAGAAGCC